GAUGAACGCUAGCUACAGGCUUAACACAUGCAAGUCGAGGGGUAGCAGGGUAGCAAUACCGCUGACGACCGGCGCACGGGUGAGUAACACGUAUCCAACCUUCCCAUAACUCGGGGAUAGCCUUUCGAAAGAAAGAUUAAUACCCGAUAGUACUUCAUUAAGGCAUCUUAAGAAAGUUAAAGAUUUAUUGGUUAUGGAUGGGGAUGCGUUCCAUUAGAUAGUCGGUGAGGUAACGGCUCACCAAGUCUUCGAUGGAUAGGGGUUCAGAGAGGAAGGUCCCCCACAUUGGUACUGAGACACGGACCAAACUCCUACGGGAGGCAGCAGUGAGGAAUAUUGGUCAAUGGGCGAGAGCCUGAACCAGCCAAGUAGCGUGAAGGAUGAAGGUCCUAUGGAUUGUAAACUUCUUUUAUAGUAGAAUAAAGUGAACCACGUGUGGUUUUUUGUAUGUAUACUAUGAAUAAGGAUCGGCUAACUCCGUGCCAGCCGCCGCGGUAACAC
rnacentral:rRNA from 1 species